GCAACUAAUAGGUAAAAAAGAUGACUAGCUAAUGGCCCACAGCUAUGACACCUCAACCUACCAAACCAGUUUAAGGUAUCCACUUGCUACAUGGUUAACAAAACUGACGUUGAGCUAGAAUAAGAGAUUGUCAAUGGCCUAAUUCCAAGAUCCAGUAAGUCUGUUUGCAUAAAAAACAGAAACGCUGCCAUAAGCAUGUGCGUGGUUAUUAUCAUCAAAAAUAUAACUUGCAAACAGUGAUUGGGACU
rnacentral:lncRNA from 1 species